UACAGAGGUCUCAAGCGUUGUUCGGAUUCAUUGGGCGUAAAGGGUGCGUAGGCGGCGCGGUAAGUCGGGUGUGAAAUCUCGGAGCUUAACUCCGAAACUGCAUUCGAUACUGCCGUGCUUGAGGACUGGAGAGGAGACUGGAAUUUACGGUGUAGCGGUGAAAUGCGUAGAUAUCGUAAGGAAGACCAGUGGCGAAGGCGGGUCUCUGGACAGUUCCUGACGCUGAGGCACGAAGGCCCAGGGGAGCAAACAGG
rnacentral:rRNA from 1 species